UACGUAGGGACCGAGCGUUGUCCGGAAUCAUUGGGCGUAAAGAGCGUGUAGGCGGCCAGAAAAGUCCGCUGUGAAAACUCGAGGCUCAACUUCGAGCUGUCGGUGGAAACUUUCUGGCUAGAGUCCGGAAGAGGAGAAUGGAAUUCCUGGUGUAGCGGUGAAAUGCGCAGAUAUCAGGAAGAACACCCGUGGCGAAGGCGGGUCUCUGGGACGGUACUGACGCUGAGACGCGAAAGCGUGGGGAGCGAACAGG
rnacentral:rRNA from 1 species